UUAUAUAAAUCUUGUUUCUUACUCUCUCACUGGAAUAUUUCUAUCAUCUUGCUACAACUGUACCAAAAGAUGACUGAAGGAAGAGGUCAGCCUUGCCAUUUGCUCAGCACUAUACUUUGCACAUAGAAGGAGGAGCCGGACCAGGGAGGGAACCUGAAACCUGGGGAGGACAGAAACUACACUGCAAGCCAACUUUUUGUGCUUGUGGAAAAUAAAAUUAUAACAUUUCCCCUCAAGGUUGAAGACCAGGCGAUGGCAAGAAGUAAAAGUGCAUCAGAUUAAAGGCUAUGCUGAACACCUUAAAAUCCUCAACCAAACAGUUCCUUUAGCAUGCACUGGCUGUGCUGUGAUCAAGUUGUAUUCUCUGAGCACAAAAAUGAAUACUUUUUAAAAUAAGUAUUCUUGCCCUGGCACCAAUGAUAGUGCAGGAUUCAUGUGUGUUUGUAAAAUAAAUUUGGGACCGCAUUUCUGCUGUCACCAUUUAGCUUCUCCUGAAGCAGACGUGAGACAGAGU